ACGCUGGCGGAAUGCUUUACACAUGCAAGUCGAGCGGCAGCGCGGGGGCAACCCUGGCGGCGAGCGGCGAACGGGUGAGUAAUGUAUCGGAACGUACCCAGUCGUGGGGGAUAACUAUCCGAAAGGAUAGCUAAUACCGCAUACGUCCUGAGGGAGAAAGCGGGGGACCGAAAGGCCUCGCGCGAUUGGAGCGGCCGAUAUCGGAUUAGCUAGUUGGUGAGGUAAAGGCUCACCAAGGCGACGAUCCGUAGCUGGUCUGAGAGGACGACCAGCCACACUGGAACUGAGACACGGUCCAGACUCCUACGGGAGGCAGCAGUGGGGAAUUUUGGACAAUGGGGGCAACCCUGAUCCAGCCAUUCCGCGUGAGUGAAGAAGGCCUUCGGGUUGUAAAGCUCUUUCAGCAGGAACGAAACGGUGGUCCUUAAUACGGGCUACUAAUGACGGUACCUGAAGAAGAAGCACCGGCUAACUACGUGCCAGCAGCCGCGGUAAUACGUAGGGUGCGAGCGUUAAUCGGAAUUACUGGGCGUAAAGCGUGCGCAGGCGGUUCUAUAAGACAGAUGUGAAAUCCCCGGGCUUAACCUGGGAACUGCGUUUGUGACUGUAGGACUCGAGUGUGGCAGAGGGGGGUGGAAUUCCACGUGUAGCAGUGAAAUGCGUAGAGAUGUGGAGGAACACCGAUGGCGAAGGCAGCCCCCUGGGUCAACACUGACGCUCAUGCACGAAAGCGUGGGGAGCAAACAGGAUUAGAUACCCUGGUAGUCCACGCCCUAAACGAUGCGAACUAGGUGUUGGGGAAGGAGACUUUCUUAGUACCGCAGCUAACGCGUGAA
rnacentral:rRNA from 1 species